rnacentral:rRNA from 1 species
UACGGAAGGCAGCAGUGGGGAAUAUUGCACAAUGGGCGCAAGCCUGAUGCAGCCAUGCCGCGUGUAUGAAGAAGGGCCUUCGGGUUGUAAAGUACUUUUCAGUCGUGAGGAAGGUGUUAAGGUUAAUAACCUUAGCAAUUGAUGUUAGCGACAGAAGAAGCACCGGCUAACUCCGUGCCAGCAGCCGCGGUAAUACGGAGGGUGCGAGCGUUAAUCGGAAUUACUGGGCGUAAAGGGCACGCAGGCGGUUAAUUAAGUUGGAUGUGAAAUCCCCGGGCUUAACCUGGGAAUGGCAUUCAAGACUGGUUAGCUAGAGUCUUGUAGAGGGGGUAGAAUUCCAUGUGUAGCGGUGAAAUGCGUAGAGAUGUGGAGGAAUACCGGUGGCGAAGGCGGCCCCUGGGACAAAGGACUGACGCUCAUGUGCGAAAGCGUGGGGAGCAAACGAGGAUUAGGAUACC